rnacentral:rRNA from 1 species
AAAUUGAAGAGUUUGAUCAUGGCUCAGAUUGAACGCUGGCGGCAGGCCUAACACAUGCAAGUCGAACGGUAACAGGAAGCAGCUUGCUGCUUCGCUGACGAGUGGCGGACGGUGAGUAAUGUCUGGGAAACUGCCUGAUGGAGGGGGAUAACUACUGGAAACGGUGGCUAAUACCGCAUAACGUCGCAAGACCAAAGAGGGGGACCUUCGGGCCUCUUGCCAUCAGAUGUGCCCAGAUGGGAUUAGCUUGUUGGUGAGGUAACGGCUCACCAAGGCGACGAUCCCUAGCUGGUCUGAGAGGAUGACCAGCCACACUGGAAC